GUCGACAACACGGAAAACGCAAGGUAGACGCGGAAGUAGAGUUUAGUGCAUUUCUCUUUCUGAGAUCGACGUUUCAGCAUAUUCGGUAUAUAGGCUGCUAAACAACCACUUUAGCGUGUCCUGUACGGGUUCGUAAUGGUAUGACUUCUGAUAAAAGCCGGUGCCUAUGUGGUGCGGAAGAUCUCCUCUGCCAUCAGAGAGGGAGAGCAAAAAGAACAGCCUGAACUCGCACCAUGUAGCCUGGUACCAGGAAAUAAGAGGGAGCAUCAGAGUCAGAAGCGUUUAAUAGCGGAGGCUAAGUCAACCCCAGCAGAGACGUCUACAGAGACUGGAGUGGAGAAAUGUAGCUCCUGACAUUAAAGGUCAUACAGGUGCAUAACUGGGUGUCUCACUAGAAGUUGUAGAAGCUGAAGAAGUUGUAAAACAUCUGGUUCCUGAGAAAGAAAUCAGACUUGAUGAAGGGAUGACUGACAACCCAGUUUUGCCCUGUGUGACUGAUAGAUGUUAGGCAUUCUCUCUCUUUCCAUCUGUCUGUCAGCUGUAGAGCAUGAUGGUCUGUUCAUCAACCUCUGAUUCAGGGAUUGUUCAGAUUUGAAAUUUUCCUACAGCUGUAAUAUCUGCACUCCUAGGCAAAAUAAAAUGGUCAGAGUCCAGAUUUAAACCAUAUAUAGAAUAUUUGGUUUCAUAUUGAACACUAGCUUGGCAAAGUCUUUCAACUGUUUGAAGCCAUCAAUGCUGAGUGAAAAAUGAUUUGUUGUUAAGGCCAUUAAAAGCUUAAUGCUUUUCCAUAAUGGCUAUGGCUCCCUUUUUUUGUUCAGGAGCGUACAUUGCCCUAUAAAUCUACACCAAAUCUAAAAUCUAUAAAUUUACACCAAUGUUCUGUUAAAAAGAAUAAAGCUAGGAGUAUGACAGAAUAUUUUUACACUUGUUUUUUAAAAAUAAAAUAAACAGAAUUACCUUGAA